rnacentral:rRNA from 1 species
AACGAACGCUGGCGGUAUGCCUAACACAUGCAAGUCGCACGAGAAAGUACUUCGGUAUGAGUAGAGUGGCGCACGGGUGAGUAACACGUAGGUGACCUUCCGAAUAGUGGGGGAUAACUCGGAGAAAUCCGGGCUAAUACCGCAUAUGUACGACAAAUCUGAGAGUAGUCGUAGAAAGAAUGCCUCUACUUGUAAGCAUUCGCUAAUCGAUGGGCCUGCGGAGCAUUAGCUAGUUGGUGGGGUAAUGGCCUACCAAGGCUACGAUGCUUAACGGAUCUGAGAGGAUGAUCCGUCACACUGGAACUGAGACACGGGUCCAGACUCCUACGGGAGGCAGCAGUAGGGAAUAUUGGGCAAUGGAGGCAACUCUGACCCAGCCAUGCCGCGUGCAGGAUGACGGCCCUCUGGGUUGUAAACUGCUUUUAUACGGGAAGAAAAGUACUACGUGUAGUAUAUUGACGGUACCGUAAGAAUAAGGAUCGGCUAACUCCGUG